UCCGCGCCUACCCCAUUUGAUUACACUAAUAUAAGGUACCGAUGUUAUUCUAGCCGCGUAAAAGUCUGAAAUCCCACCCAGACACUCUAUCGCCUGCAGACGAAAACCUGAAAUGGUUUGACGGCGGGGAGACCACGAGAGACACCAACAAUAAACAUCGUAAAUCACGGUCUGAUUUAGUCCCUUUGGACUACAUUUGAUCCUGAUUCAAAGUAAAGGCGGGAAACGCAAACCAUGCGCACGUGCGUGUCGUGUGCGCAGUAGGAUUUCCUAGCUGGAUGACAGGAGUAACUUGAGGCCGGACUGACUGACGAAAAUGUUUGUCUCUAUAGGCCUGUCGGCAUGAAAAUGAUGACCAGUUAUGUUGUGGUAAAAUGUGCGAGAGUGAUAUAGUACACGAGAACGAAAGUUAUUUAUCAAAAUUAAUUCGGCGUCGACAUUUUCUGAGAUAACUCCGCAAUAUUGUACGAGUUGUCUACCUUCCUCUGUGGAUCUCUUAGCGCUGGAUGUAAGAUCAGAGGCGAGGUUACCUUUACGUCUCUGGUUUUGGAAGAUACACCAGGCAUUGGCUAAAGGGCUAUGAAAAGAUUGACUGGUGAGCAAGUCAUGCAAGGAAGGAUGCGAUUGUUGAGUCGAACAUCAUGGACACAGGAUGGAACCCAUAUUUUCAUUUCUGAGAGCUUGUCUACAAUCAUCUGGAUAAUUAU